rnacentral:rRNA from 1 species
GAGUGCUCGAAAGAGAAACCAGUACACAGGUGCUGCAUGGCUGUCGUCAGCUCGUGUCGUGAGAUGUUGGGUUAAGUCCCGCAACGAGCGCAACCCUUGUCNUUAGUUGCUACGAAAGGGCACUCUAANGAGACUGCCGGUGACAAACCGGAGGAAGGUGGGGAUGACGUCAAGUCCUCAUGGCCCUUAUGGGUAGGGCUUCACACGUCAUACAAUGGUACAUACAGAGNGCCGCCAACCCGCGAGGGGGAGCUAAUCGCAGAAAGUGUAUCGUAGUCCGUAUUGUAGUCUGCAACUCGACUNCAUGAAGUUGGAAUCGCUAGUAAUCGCGGAUCAGCAUGUCGCGGUGAAUACGUUCCCGGGUCUUGUACACACCGCCCGUCACACCAUGGGAGCGGGUUUUACCAGAAGUAGGUAGCUUAACCGNAAGGAGGGCGNUUACCACGGUAGGAUUCNUGACUGGGGUGAAGUCGUAACAAGGUAGCCGUAAUCG